CUGGCUAGAUGCAGUGGCUGUUCCAGCCUGUGGACUCUUCCUCUAAAUAUUAAACAGAUGCUUUAAUCCAGAAUUGACAGGCCAGGCCUGUAUAGAGAUUAUAAAGUAUAGAGGCUAUAUAAUAGCGUACAUUUUAUUGUUAAAAUAUUAGGUUCAACUCACUUGCUGCAACCAAUGUAUAUAUAAAUCAUCGGCUGCGACCCGCAACAUGCAGCAGAGAGACAAAAGGACGAUGUUCAUUUCAGAAGUCUCUAUGAUUGGUUGUUCGUGUUACCAUUGGAAACAGUGAGAAGGAGGAAGUCAGUUUCUAAUUUUCCUUAACCUUUUCCCUCACCUCGACAUGGUAAUGUUAUGAUUUUUUACAGACAUGAGAAUUUCACAUCAUUGUAUCCGGUGCAUACAGCUGACAAGAACAGACACAUACUGAAGAUAUCCUAAUAUAACGUAUUCAUGGUGUGUUUGACAAAGGUGAACUACCUGAUAUAGUCUUACAUGGCUAGGUGUGUUAAAUUACACAUCAAGUAGACUGGGGUUACACUAGCAUGAGGCGUAAUAGGUUUACCUUUAUAUAGUGGUCUAUAGGGGCCAUUUACAAUGCAAAACAUUUACAGAAUGCUGUCUAUGAAGGACUCAUAAAUUAUCAGAAAGAGUCAGAGAGAGAGAGAUAGUCAUUUGUUUUCCAGAGAAAGUCAUUAAUUUGCUCCACCAUUUUAUGAAAUGUUUCGAACAACUUUGGGCAGAAGUGUCUAGGAAUGAGAUUAGGAAUAACCAAAUAUCUGACAUCAUGUUUUGUUUACAGGUACUGCACAUUCUGAUCUGACUCUGAUUGGUCAACCAUGAGUGACAGCAGGGAGGACCCUCCUCCUCAGACACAGGGUUCUGGAGGAGACAGAAAGGUACUGCACAUUCUGAUCUGACUCUGAUUGGUCAACCAUGAGUGACAGCAGGGAGGACCCUCCUCCUCAGACACAGGGUUCUGGAGGAGACAGAAAGCAUCACACCCUUCUCUUCUUCCCCAUCCAUCCUUUCUCCUCCUCCAUCCAUCUCUCAGCUUGACGUGCAGAGGGUGGAACCUGUAGUCGAUGUUGAGGUUCAGACAGCAGGUGAAAGAAUGCUGAGGGUGAG